rnacentral:rRNA from 1 species
UACGUAGGGCGCAAGCGUUGUCCGGAAUUAUUGGGCGUAAAGAGCUCGUAGGCGGUUUGUCGCGUCUGCUGUGAAAACCCGAGGCUCAACCUCGGGCCUGCAGUGGGUACGGGCAGACUAGAGUGUGGUAGGGGAGACUGGAAGUUCCUGGUGUAGCGGUGGAAUGCGCAGAUAUCAGGAGGGAACACCAAUGGCGAAGGCAGGUCUCUGGGC